rnacentral:lncRNA from 1 species
AAUCGGGAGGUGGAGCUUAGCAGGCGGAAGUGGGUCACAGUGUGGGGGGUAGUGAGGGGGCGCAGUUAUAGCUCAGCUCCGCUUCCUGCCCCAUCUCUCUAAACAGGUCAUCGAGAACUAGUUCUCUCUUAAUGAAGCUGAUUUGGGGGCUUCAGUAUGCUCAACGCAAACCAACCCUGAUCAUCUCUAGGAGGUCAGAGAGAGUGGGUACUCCGCAAACUUCAGCAAACACCACGGGACCCUUCGGGGAUCUCAAGUCAACUUGGCUUAGCUAUGAAUGGAAUCCAGAUGCCAAGUACCCCAAGUCGGCCUCCUGGUCGCAGCCUCCAGGCUUCUCGGUCUUCCAUGGGGCACCUUAAAGGGAGGACAGAGACUC